AGAGAGAGACAUGCGCGCAUAUCAAUAAGCGGAGGAAAAGAAACUAACUAGGAUUCCCCUCAGUAACGGCGAGUGAAGCGGGAAGAGCUCAAAUUUGAAAUCUUAAAGGGUUUCCCUUUACGAAUUGUAGUUUAAAGAAGUGUUUUCUGUUGAGGUUUUGGUAAAAGUUCUUUGGAAUAGGACAUCAUAGAGGGUGAGAAUCCCGUAUUUGACCUUUACUUUCAACUUUGUGAUACACUUUCAAAGAGUCGGAUUGUUUGGGAAUGCAGUCCAAAAUGGGUGGUAAAUUUCAUCUAAAGCUAAAUAUUGGCGAGAGACCGAUAGCGAACAAGUACCGUGAGGGAAAGAUGAAAAGAACUUUGAAAAGAGAGUUAAACAGUACGUGAAAUUGUCAAAAGGGAAGCGUUUGACACCAGUGUUGUUUUUCUGAAAAUCAAUUAAAGAACUGUUUAUGCUAAGUUGUUUAGACUUUAUCAGCUAACUGUUUAGUUUUGAGCUUUUCUUUAAUGCACUUUUCAGUUAACAAGUCAACAUCAAUUUCUUUUGCUGUAAAAAAGCUUGAGGAAGGUGGCUUGAGAUUCGUCUUAAGUGUUUAUAGCCUCUUGCCUAUGCAGUCGGAGAGAUUGAGGUCUGCAGCGUAGAUCCUUCGGGGCUAAAUGCAUUUGUGCUAAGUUAUAGCAUUUUAUAGACAACUUGUUGACUAUGAUUUGUCUUGUAGCUUACUCGCUUAUGUUAUUUUACCUACGCUUAGGAUGUUGAGCGCAUGUCUCUCUCU
rnacentral:rRNA from 1 species